rnacentral:misc_RNA from 1 species
UGAAGUAACUACUUAAAAUUUUAAAUAAUUAUAAAUUCAAAUAACCUUAUAAAAAUCUAUUAACGUAUACCAAACACCCUCAAAAUAAAAUCUAUUUUUUACCUAUCUAGACUGCAACAUAUUUCCAGUGCUAAACGGUAUGUGACGGUCUAUAUUUCCACUUUAGGUUAUAUCUGUAUCCUUAAUUUGAGCGGAUAGCUGCAAAAUCAUAACGAAGAGAAAAGAAAACCAUCGUUUUAAAAGCAGCAUUACGAAUACGUAUACCAGAUUGAUGCCUCUUUUCUAUUCCUUUUUCUCCCCUGUCCUUGCCUGUGUUAUCCGACUACAAUAGGCGGGACAUACAGUAAAACAAAAUCAUGCAUCCACAUUCGCUACAGAAUAUUUGGAAUCAGAGAGUCAACAAACACUGAAGAAACAUUUGAGUAGCUUAAAAACGAAAGGAUUCCUCGACAAGACCAUUAAACCAUAUAUGCUGUGCAGCAAAAAUAGCAUCAAGGCAAAGUAAACGACCAUGAAAACCACCAGUGCAAUUUUGUAAGUUUCUCUGGCAAUUG